ACUUACACUUGUUCUGUCGCGUCGACAACAAUUGGAAAGCCUGACAAGCUUUCUUCUCCGACCUCAAUUUCUAAGAAUAAGUUAGGGUUUUCGAAUCCGAUAAUUAACGAAACCAGGAGAAGAGAGAAAGAGAGAUAAGUGAUCGAAGGGAGUACGAAAAUUUUCAACGGCGGACGCAGGAGCAAAUCCGAGGCUCGGGUCCGGAAGAUAAAUUUCAGGCUCGGGUACGAAGGAGAUGGGUCGUAGAUCAGAACUCUCUUUCAAAGACAGAAGGUUAGACUAGUUGGUUUUGGGGCAAGUGA